rnacentral:rRNA from 1 species
UACGUAGGUUGCAAGCGUUGUCCGGAUUUACUGGGUGUAAAGGGCGUGUAGGCGGAGCUGCAAGUCAGAUGUGAAAUCCCGGGGCUCAACCCCGGAACUGCAUUUGAAACUGUGGCCCUUGAGUAUCGGAGAGGCAAGCGGAAUUCCUAGUGUAGCGGUGAAAUGCGUAGAUAUUAGGAGGAACACCAGUGGCGAAGGCGGCUUGCUGGACGACAACUGACGCUGAGGCGCGAAAGCGUGGGGAGCAAACAGG